UACGUAGGUGGCAAGCGUUGUCCGGAUUUACUGGGCGUAAAGAGCGUGUAGGCGGCCAGACAGGUCCGUUGUGAAAACUCGAGGCUCAACCUCGAGACGCCGAUGGAAACCGUCUGGCUAGAGUCCGGAAGAGGAGAGUGGAAUUCCUGGUGUAGCGGUGAAAUGCGCAGAUAUCAGGAAGAACACCCGUGGCUAAGGCGGCUCUCUAGUACGGUACUGACGCUGAGACGCGAAAGCGUGGGGAGCGAACAGG
rnacentral:rRNA from 1 species